rnacentral:sRNA from 1 species
UUCUUUUUCCCUCUCUUUUUUUUCGUAUCC